AUCUAGCUAACGAGUCCCAAUCAGGACGAAAAGCGUGUCCUGGAU
rnacentral:hammerhead_ribozyme from 1 species